rnacentral:tRNA from 1 species
UCUCUUGUAGCUCAGUUGGUUAGAGCGCUGCACCGGAAUCGCAGGGCCGUAGGUUCAAUUCCUGCCAGAGGAC